GCUGACUGGUUGUGUGCUUUGAUUGACAGGCGCGUCGACCAAUGGGAGGCGGCGCCUGAGGAAGGCGGGAAGCGGCGGCGCCUGAGGGCGGUGGCCCCCAGAGACGCGUCCGGAGCAAUUAUGGCCGCCAAGGUAAAGGUAGAGAAAACAGAGAGCUGCUGUAGGAGGAGCCUGGGAAGGGCACUGGGGACCCCCUGACCAAAUUCCUUCGUGAUCCGCCUCUUUGAUCGCAGCAUGGAGCUGGGGCAGUUCCCAGUCGGGACCCCCCUGUACGCCGUGUGCCAAGCCUGGAUCGGUCACAGCCCCGCUCCCACCCCACCCCCCGACUAGGGGGCAGCGUUACCCUGGAGCUGAGGGCACCAUACAGCCGCCAUGAAACUGCGCAUACACCAGGCUGCGUCUUUGUGUCUUCCUGCCCAGCUAGACAUGCCGUCCUAUUUUCCACUCUCUGUGGCAGCUCCGUUGUCGACUUUCAGCAGCUCCUUUCAUAGAAAAAAGCUCUAAAAGCAAAAGCAAGUGCACGUCUUCCACCUGCUGCACAUAAACUGCAUCAAACUCACCGAUGCACUCUGUUCCUACCCUUCUCCACUGAAUCGAUUGUUGUUCUGCUUGGGUCUCGUGGCAGUAAAGUAAAGCAAGCACAAUUGAUUCCACAGGAGGUGUGAAGAAGAGUAGGUAGCAGCACAAAUAGCCUCCUUACGACUGCCAACGUGAAUUCGGAAGCCAUGCUCCUGUGGCAGCCAGUAUGCUGCACCCACCAGCCCUGUCGCUUCUCAGCGGCGUCUUUCUGCACACUCUGCAAACUGUCGCUUCUUCUCAUUUUCCCGGCGGCAAACUGUCAUCUAUCUACUUCUAGCACAGAAGACUCUGUGGGCUGUAAAGUGCACCUAGGUACUACAGCAUCAGCCUAAGCUCGCCCACAGACUUCCCCUAAAUCUUCGCUGAAGUUUUGUAGAAUGAGUAGUCCUUAUGACAAUGUUGAGAUAAUAGUUUCUUUGACUGUGGGCUUUUGCAAAACUGUUCUGAAUGCUAGCGAUUGACAUGGCAACCAAAUGGAUAAUGGGGAGAUGGGGGAGAUUGGUGGGAGCAGUACCUACUAUGAUCGUGGUUCGGGUUAAACGUUUGCAAUUUUUUGAAAAUUGACACAAGGUGCUGAAAGCUUUCUGAUUUUGAAGAAAGAUCAUGAAGUUGAAAUGAUGACCUCGUGGUUUUAGAGUGGACGGAGAAAUCAAUCUGCUUGCAAUCAAUGAAUGCAGACACUGCUGCAUCUUAGAGACAGUGAGUUGACAGAAACAAAGAAAAACUGUCAAACAAAGAAAAGCUUUGUCCCCUAUUUUCUUGUUUCUUGGAAAAAAGCGAUGUCUCAGACUUUAUUCAGCAGUAUUUUACACAACCAUGCAUGUUUACCAUGCACACAGUCUCUUGCAUGCUCAAAGGAAGCAUUUACACAGCUUUUCUGUCUUUGUGCACCUUCCUUGCAUACCUUUCAUAUGGAUAGCAAGAAAGCAGAGACAGAGAAAAAAAAAUGUUUUGAUCUUCUCUGGUCCACCUUUCUGAACUGAGCAUAUUUGGCAGUGACAAAGAGAGAUCUUAGAAAUUUGUAUUUAUUAUGUGUGAAAAAUCAGUUUGCCAAAUGAGGGAUAAGGAGGAAAAGAAUUUUCAGGGA